GCCGAAGUGGCGGAACCGGCAGACGCGCGGCGUCGAGAGCGUCGUGGGAAACAUUUCCAUGGAGGUUCAAAUCCUCCCAUCCGCACCA
rnacentral:tRNA from 1 species